rnacentral:rRNA from 1 species
AAGUCGAACGGUAACAGGAAGCAGCUUGCUGCUUCGCUGACGAGUGGCGGACGGGUGAGUAAUGUCUGGGAAACUGCCUGAUGGAGGGGGAUAACUACUGGAAACGGUGGCUAAUACCGCAUAACGUCGCAAGACCAAAGAGGGGGACCUUCGGGCCUCUUGCCAUCAGAUGUGCCCAGAUGGGAUUAGCUUGUUGGUGAGGUAACGGCUCACCAAGGCGACGAUCCCUAGCUGGUCUGAGAGGAUGACCAGCCACACUGGAACUGAGACACGGUCCAGACUCCUACGGGAGGCAGCAGUGGGGAAUAUUGCACAAUGGGCGCAAGCCUGAUGCAGCCAUGCCGCGUGUAUGAAGAAGGCCUUCGGGUUGUAAAGUACUUUCAGCGGGGAGGAAGG